rnacentral:rRNA from 1 species
AUUGAACGCUGGCGGCAUGCCUUACACAUGCAAGUCGAACGGCAGCACGGGAGCUUGCUCCUGGUGGCGAGUGGCGAACGGGUGAGUAAUACAUCGGAACGUACCCUGAAGUGGGGGAUAACGUAGCGAAAGUUACGCUAAUACCGCAUAUUCUGUGAGCAGGAAAGAGGGGGAUCGCAAGACCUCUUGCUUUAGGAGCGGCCGAUGUCGGAUUAGCUAGUUGGUGAGGUAAAGGCUCACCAAGGCGACGAUCCGUAGCGGGUCUGAGAGGAUGAUCCGCCACACUGGGACUGAGACACGGCCCAGACUCCUACGGGAGGCAGCCGUGGGGAAUUUUGGACAAUGGGCGCAAGCCUGAUCCAGCCAUGCCGCGUGAGUGAAGAAGGCCU